UUCAAUUCAUACAUCUUAUUUAAUUUCUGUUGUUGUUUUAUUGAUUUUUAUUUGAUGUUAAGAUUAAGGGGGAUUAGCUCUUUAUUUUAUUUUUAUAAUUUUUUGUUUAAAUUUAGUUUUGUGGAUUUUAUAUUGAUUUUCAAUUUGAUUAUGUUAAAAUUUUAUUUAUUUCUUUUUUUAUUUAUUAUUAUUUAAGUUUUUAUUGAAAUGUUUGCUUUAAUUUCUGUUGUGUUUUAAUUAUUGUGUAAUUAGUAAAUUUUAUUUUUGUCGUUGUUGUUUUUUUUGAUGUUUAAUUUUCUUUAAGGAAUUCGGCAAAUUGGUAUGUCCGCCUGUUUAACAAAAACAUCUUUUCUUGUUAGUUUUUGAAGUAUGGCCUGCCCACUGACUUUGUGUUGAAGGGCCGCGGUAUUUUGACCGUGCAAAGGUAGCAUAAUCAUUAGUUCUUUAAUUGUGAUCUGGUAUGAAUGGCUUGACGAGACAUCAGCUGUCUUAAGGGUAUUGUUAAUUGAAUUUAGUUUUUGAGUUAAAAUUCUUAAAUGUUUUUAUGGGACGAGAAGACCCUAUAGAGUUUAACAUUUAUUUUACUUUCUUUUGUUGUUUGUAUUUUAUUUUAAGUUGGGUAAUAUGUUUUGUUGGGGUGAUGGGAGGAAUAAUUUCAACUCCUCUUUGUUUUUAUAUAUUUAU
rnacentral:rRNA from 1 species